rnacentral:rRNA from 1 species
GACGAACGCUGGCGGCGUGCUUAACACAUGCAAGUCGAACGAUGAAGCCUAGCUUGCUAGGUGGAUUAGUGGCGAACGGGUGAGUAAUACGUGAGUGACCUACCUUUGACUCUGGGAUAAGCCUGGGAAACUGGGUCUAAUACCGGAUACGACCAAUCUCCGCAUGGGGUGUUGGUGGAAAGCGUUAUGGAGUGGUUUUAGAUGGGCUCACGGCCUAUCAGCUUGUUGGUGAGGUAAUGGCUUACCAAGGCGACGACGGGUAGCCGGCCUGAGAGGGUGACCGGCCACACUGGGACUGAGACACGGCCCAGACUCCUACGGGAGGCAGCAGUGGGGAAUAUUGCACAAUGGGCGCAAGCCUGAUUAGCGACGCCGCGUGAGGGAUGACGGCCUUCGGGUUGUAAACCUCUGUUAGCAUCGAAGAAGCGAAAGUGA